GGGGUGGGCGGGGUAACUACAGCGGCUAACGACUGAGCUUCCAUGGUGCGGAGCCGUGCUUCUAGCUCACUAAGCCUCGCCUCCAAUUUAUCAAAUAUACUACACUUCUUACAUGUACCGUUAUCGGUAAGGGAGGCAGAGGAAUAGCUAAACAUGUGACACACCGAGCAAGAAAGAGCAGGAGAGGCAGGGAGGGAAGACAUCACCAGGUUAGCUGCUAAGCUAAUGCUAACGCUAAUAGAAGUAACGUUGCCGCUAAACAACGUCCAAGCAACUAUUCGAUGGAGCGAAAAUUUGCUAGACGGUGAGGCGUUUAACAGCGCCUCACAUAGAUAAGAAUUCACCGUUGUGAUGAAAAAUAUCACGCUACAGUCAACUCAGUAUAGCUAGAGCUGUGAAAAGUUUGAUGACAUCAAACACGCUGGUAACAGGAAGUGACGCAACACGCUUACCGUAAGCACAGGGAACAGCACCGUUGUGAGAGUUCCUUUGCUUCAGAGCCCUUCAGAUGCUCACACACUAUUUGCCUCCUACUGCAUCGGGGAGGGCUAAAGGAUGGGCCAAAUGCAGUGUGAAAUCGGCCCUUUCGUACAUCUUGGACAUAAAACCGACUGGAACAAGCAUACCAAGCCUUCUAGAGGGAUCUCCUGAGGAAGCAGUGGGAGUCCACCAGCCCAAGCUGGUGUGUUUAGGGCACCCCAGGACAGUUGCUCAGUACGUCGUCAUUGCAAAGAACGACAAUGUCGCCAUCCCCCUUCAAGACGAAGGUUUGACAUGUGCCAUUGACAAACUGUUCAAAGUUUUCUGGGUUUGCAACAUGGCAUAUCCUGCCCAACUCGAAUCAGUCUACAGUUUCUUUGAGUAUGUUUAUGACAUGCCCAUCUCAGGUGGGAAGAGAUCAAAAGUUGUGGAACUUAUUGCAAAGCUCCAGGCAGUAUUGUUGUAAGUUGUACCACCAUGUACAGUUGUCCCAAAUGCAAGAAAUCCAUUUCGAAACAAGUCAGGACACUUAUUAGACAUCUUAGGCAAGUUCAUGCAAUUUCAGAUGGACAGGAUUAUACAAUUGUAGUCAGAACCACUGUCAAAGAACUUACCAUAACUUUAAUUCUUAUGCCAGACAUAUAAACAGGGAACACACUCAGGUUGCAAACCCAGUAAAUUUGGAACAAAUGGUCAAUUUUGGUAAUGGGUCGGAAGAUGUUUCUAUGUCAUGCUCCAACGCAAUGAAAACUCCACAAACAGAUUCGGAAACUUCAAUGGAUUGUCAUGUUUCAGACCAUCGUGAGACUGCAGCUUCCUUUGUUGCCAAAAUGUACUGUGCAUCAAAUUCCACCCUAACCGAUGUGCAAAAAAGCAUUGCUUGCACUAAAGAGCUACUGGAAAAGACAUUGGACGAUUUAAAGGAUAAAACUGCAUCUGUAAUUGAUAGCUACUCUUUGUCAAAUCUUUAAUGCAGGAUUUUGAAAAUGCAC
ensembl:lncRNA